AGGAAAAGAAACCAACAGGGAUUGCCUUAGUAGCGGCGAGUGAAGCGGCAAAAGCUCAAAUUUGAAAUCUGGCUCUUUCAGAGUCCGAGUUGUAAUUUGAAGAAGGUAUCUUUGGGUCUGGCUCUUGUCUAUGUUUCUUGGAACAGAACGUCACAGAGGGUGAGAAUCCCGUGCGAUGAGAUGAUCCAGGCCUAUGUAAAGUUCCUUCGAAGAGUCGAGUUGUUUGGGAAUGCAGCUCUAAGUGGGUGGUAAAUUCCAUCUAAAGCUAAAUAUUGGCGAGAGACCGAUAGCGAACAAGUACAGUGAUGGAAAGAUGAAAAGAACUUUGAAAAGAGAGUGAAAAAGUACGUGAAAUUGUUGAAAGGGAAGGGCUUGAGAUCAGACUUGGUAUUUUGUAUGUUACUUCUUCGGGGGUGGCCUCUACAGUUUAUCGGGCCAGCAUCAGUUUGGGCGGUAGGAGAAUUGCGUUGGAAUGUGGCACGGCUUCGGUUGUGUGUUAUAGCCUUCGUCGAUACUGCCAGCCUAGACUGAGGACUGCGGUUUAUACCUAGGAUGUUGGCAUAAUGAUCUUAAGUCGCCCGUC
rnacentral:rRNA from 1 species